rnacentral:tmRNA from 1 species
GGGGGCGUACCGGAUUCGACGGGGUUUGGCUAUUACAAGUAGCGAGCCGGGGAAGUCAUUAGCCCGUUAACAAAAUGACAAAGAAGAAACGCAGAAGAAAAUUACGCAUUUGCUGCUUAGUUUAAUCUAACAGCCGUCCUGCAGAUUAACCUUGGGCUUGAUUAACUGCUAGGGCGUGUCUAAAAAGGCCCUUACCUGUCAGUUUUUUCUUUCGGACUGAUUGGGAAAUCAAAGAAAGAUAGGAUGAGAGAUCCUGCCUGCAGGAGUUCGUAAUCCGAAAUCAAAAUACAGGCUGUGCUCGGAGAAGCUUGUCUUAAUCACUCUUCGGACGCGGGUUCAACUCCCGCCGCCUCCACCA